rnacentral:rRNA from 1 species
UGGAGGAGGUCGGCAACGACCACCCAGAGCCGGAAAGUUGUACAAACUUGGUCAUUUAGAGGAAGUAAAAGUCGUAACAAGGUUUCCUUCCCGGGCACGCCCCUACGAAGACCCAGCUGCCCCUCGGUACCGAGGGAGGCGCCCACGACUCUAAAUAACGGGCGCCGCGUCGGCUAGUCCCCGCCGGUGCGGACGCACCGACCCGGGCAACAUCGUCAAACUGCGGGAAAGCCCUGCCACGACUACCGGGACCUCACCGCCCCAGCAAUGGGAGCGGGUGCCCGCAGCUAAAAGCUGCAGGUACGGUAAAGCACCGAAGUCUAGGGGCGAUCCGCCGCCAAACCCUCCCCGUACCGGGAGGGCCCAGCUCACAGGCCAGACGGCGAUGGGCGCAGUCGCGCUUAAGAUAUGGUCGAGUGACCCGUCGAGAGGCGGGUGCAACUCAGGAACGUCCGUAGGUGAACCUGCGGAAGGAUCAUU